rnacentral:lncRNA from 1 species
AAAUAGACUAGCCGAACACUAGCUCAACAAUGGUUUCCUUUUGCUUCAACUUUCGGUUGAAAAUAAGAAGAAAAAGAUGAUACUUCACUUUGGUUUUGUUUAAUUUAACAUAUAAUUACCUUUUUACUAAUUUAACCUUUAAAAACAUUAAUAAUUACACAAUUGCCAAGCCAUGUACAUCCACUAUCAAGUUAAAUGGUCUAAUUUAAGGACUUCCACUUUAAAGUUUUAUAACUAUUUAAUAAUUUAGCUAUUAG